GCAUAACGCGAAGAACCUUACCCACCUUUGACAUGUACGGAAGUUACCAGAGAUGGUUUCGUGCUCGAAAGAGAACCGUAACACAGGUGCUGCAUGGCUGUCGUCAGCUCGUGUCGUGAGAUGUUGGGUUAAGUCCCGCAACGAGCGCAACCCUUGCCAUUAGUUGCUACAUUCAGUUGGGCACUCUAAUGGGACUGCCGGUGACAAACCGGAGGAAGGUGGGGAUGACGUCAAGUCCUCAUGGCCCUUAUAGGUGGGGCUACACACGUCAUACAAUGGCUGGUACAGAGGGUUGCCAACCCGCGAGGGGGAGCCAAUCCCAUAAAGCCAGUCGUAGUCCGGAUCGCAGUCUGCAACUCGACUGCGUGAAGUCGGAAUCGCUAGUAAUCGUGAAUCAGAAUGUCACGGUGAAUACGUUCCCGGGUCUUGUACACACCG
rnacentral:rRNA from 1 species